UACGUAGGGUGCGAGCGUUAAUCGGAAUUACUGGGCGUAAAGCGUGCGCAGGCGGCUUCGCAAGUCAGACGUGAAAUCCCCGGGCUUAACCUGGGAAUGGCGUUUGAAACUACGGAGCUGGAGUGUGGCAGAGGGGAGGUAGAAUUCCACGUGUAGCGGUGAAAUGCGUAGAUAUGUGGAGGAAUACCGAUGGCGAAGGCAGCCUCCGUGGGCCAACACUGACGCUCAUGCACGAAAGCGUGGGGAGCAAACAGG
rnacentral:rRNA from 1 species